CCUACGGGGAGCAGCAGUGGGGAAUAUUGCACAAUGGGGGAAACCCUGAUGCAGCGACGCCGCGUGAGUGAGGAAGUAUUUCGGUAUGUAAAGCACUAUCAGCAGGGAAGAAAAUGACGGUACCUGACUAAGAAGCCCCGGCUAACUACGUGCCAACAGCCGCGGGAAUACGUAGGGGGCAAGCGUUAGCCGGAUUUACUGGGUGUAAAGGGAGCGUAGACGUCUAAUCAAGUCAGAAGUGAAAACCCAGGGCUCAACUUUGGGACUGCUUUUGAAACUGAGUAGCUAGAGGGCAGGAGAGGGAAGCGGAAUUCCUAGUGUAGCGGUGAAAUGCGUAGAGAUUAGGAGGAACACCAGUGGCGAAGGCGGCUCACUGGACUGUGACUGACGUUGAGGUGCGAAAGCGUGGGGAGCAAACAGGAUUAGAUACCCGUGUAGUC
rnacentral:rRNA from 1 species